UCCCGGCGCCCAGCAGCAGCUUGUGCCCGGCCGCCGCCUCCGCGCCCGGGCCGCCGGCGCCGAAGCCGGGCAGCGGCACGAAGUCGGGCAGCAGCUCCAGCCCCUCCUCGGGGAAGAAGGGCGCCUCCAUCUUCACGCCCACCCGCCCGCCGCCGCCGCCGCUGCUCAUCGUGGCGGCUGCAGGGACCCCGACCCCCCGCGGGGGCCGGGGCCUUGGCUGUGCGCUCGGCCGCGGGUCAGGUCGGGGUGGCUCGGCCCGCCGUGCCGCGUCGGCGGCACCCACCCCGGCGCCUCGGCGAGCCCAGGAGCGAGCCGUCCCGGGGAGGCGGGGGCCUGGCUCGGCGCCCGCGGAGCACGAGCAAGGCGCCCGGAGGGGCUAGGGGGCCCGGAAGGAGGAAGCGAGCGCGCUGCCCCCGCCCGCGGGCGCCCGGGCCUCAGCUUGCUCGGGCCAGGCCCGGAAACCUUUGGCAAGCCUCCUUCACCUGUGGAGAGUGGCUCCCAACAUUUGGAGACUCUCGCCUUUUGUCCUCACUGGGGACACACAAAGUGGAGCCCUCAGGUGACUGCCACGUGGGACAGCUGGAUUCUGCCGAGUUCUGCCAAUAGUAUCUUGUUCAGGGAUUUUAAAGUCAUUGGCAACACACAGGGGGUGCACAUGCACCCCGAAACUGGCGGUGCGCCCCCUGCGAAAAGGCGCCCCAGAUAGUGUCGGCUCCUGCUUGCCAACCCCCCUUGCCACUGACACUGCUGGUGGCGUCUGCGGGUAGUCCCCAAUUGCCACUGGCCGCUGCCACCAGUGUCUGCAGGUGGUUGCCGACCACUGGUUGGCGCUCCCCACCCUCCUCCCUGCCGCUGACAGUGCCGCCUCUGGGAGCUCACUACGCCUCCCCAGCCUCUAGGGCCAUGCAGUGGUCAUGCUUAAAGCCAUCCUGUCAAAGGUGACAGCUCAUCUUGACAUGUUCCUUUUAGCUCACUAAGCAAGUGACCGUCAGGACUUGUUAUAACUAAUCCACAAAAGAUAAAGCAGUGCUCCCUGUGAGUUCUCCCCCUGUUCUCCUGCCACUGGAUCCUCCCCUCCCCACCAGCACAUUUCUUCAUCCUUUCUCCCAACACAGGGGUGUUCAACUGGCUCUGGCCCUUGGAGCUAGGGCUUCCCAGGGGUUUGGAAAUUUGGUGGUAGUUGGCAGCAUUAAUUGCUGCUCCCCUGCUGCCAAAUUUCUGGAACCGGUGGGGAGCCUGCACGCUGGAUAGCGUGGUUCUGAAGUGUGCUAGAUCAGGUGCACAGGGCUAGGCUGGCACUGGGCGCUGGAGCCUGAUCUUGGCAUCAACCCUGCAAGGCAUCUCGCCCACAGACCAGCUUCAGGCCACUCAUCUGGCCCACAGGGCCAAAAAGUCAUCCAUCACUACCCUUGGACAGUUUCAUUCAUUGAUUAUCUCAGAGCCAGGCUCCCUUUCUGCCCAGGCACCUGCCUGCUCAGCCUGUCUGCACCGACAUUGCUCAUGCUCACCUGCAAGCUGCUCAGUGGUACUGGGCUAUGGUGCUAUGCCUCCCAGCUCUGUUCCAAAAUCAACAGGAGGGGGAGAAGUUGACAAGCAGGGAGCCCUCUGCGUGACCUGCCAAAUGGUUUUCCUCUUCACCCAACAUCGGAUAAAGGAGCAUUCCUUUAGGGGCUGCAAGUCAAAGAGUCUGAGGAAAAAUUUUCUGGUCAGCACAUUAUACCCCAGCCUCCUGCUACGUGCUGUAGUCUGCCUUCAUGCUGGCCCACAGCUGGGUAUCACCCUUUAUAGCUAGCCUUAGGGAACACUUUAGGGAAUGGUAGCUAAACAAGACUGAGAACAGAAAGAGGAUGAGAAACAGGGGAAGUAUGACAGGUAUUAACAGAGAGAAAUGAGAGCUUGAGGGGCCGGAGUAAGGAGGGUCACUGUGAGUUUCUGAGAAAAUGAAGGGGAAAAGGGAUAUUAGGAAAGGCACUGUGAGAUGGGGACAGCUUGAAGGGGUACAUGGAAAGCAGAUAUCUAGGGAAGCAGAAAGACCAGCAAGAAUUGGCUGGGGGACUUUCAAGAAAUACAGGAUUAGAGAAUUAGAGGGUUGGUGGAGAAAAGUGGCAAGGAAAACAGAAGAAAACAGGUCUGGCAGAGACCAGGGAAACUGUGGGGCUUUAGCGAACUGGUGUUUAUGGCAGGGAGGAUGGGGGCUUUGUGGGGAAAAGAAACAGUGGGUUAUAGAAGAAUAUUGAGGAUACACGUCAAAUUACGUUACCAGGGACAAUAGUGUCUCCUGAGAGAUCAUAUUUAUAUUCUGGAGAAAGAGGGUAAGCCUACAGACACAAGGAGAACUGGUAUCCAAAAAGGUAGUCCAGGUCCAAACAACCAGGCUACCAUGUUCCAUCUGCAUAAAGUGGGAGGCAGAUCACCCGUCUCUUAAAGCCCAGGAGGUGUGGCAGGGCUGUCACAGCACACUAGUUACCUCCUCAGCAGGGAAGAGUUGUAUCACAGACAGAGCUGAUCUGAGACAGACCCUUACAAAUAAAUCCUGGGGUAGGAAGUGGCUGAACUUUCCU
ensembl:lncRNA